rnacentral:rRNA from 1 species
UACAGAGGUCUCAAGCGUUGUUCGGAUUCAUUGGGCGUAAAGGGCGCGUAGGCGGCGGGGUAAGUCGGGUGUGAAAUCUCAGAGCUCAACUCUGAAACUGCACUCGAUACUGCUCUGCUUGAGGACUGGAGAGGAGACUGGAAUUCACGGUGUAGCAGUGAAAUGCGUAGAUAUCGGGAGGAACACCAGUGGCGAAGGCGACUACCUGGCCUGUUCUUGACGCUGAGGCGCGAAAGCUAGGGGAGCAAACGGG